CUACUCCCUACCCCCUACUCCCUACCCCCUAGCCCCUACCCCCUACUCCCUACCCCCUAUUCCCUUCACUGCUCCCUUCUCUCCCAGGGACCACGUCUUGUUGACAGGACGGUGUAUAGAUAUAUUUGGUUCUGGAUGUUGUAGUACCUCUGUCAAUAAUCUGAGCCGCUAACAUCUCUCACAUUAAAGGGGAAGUCCAGAGCUGGUCUCUUAAAAGGGAAAGUCCAGACAUUGUCACUUAAAGGGGAAGUCUACUAUAUACAUAGAAUAGGGUCCCAUUUGGUAGGGAACUCUAGUAGUCGAGGAUAAGGAGGAGGGCCUAGAUGUGGUCUGAGAUGGUUCGAAACACAAUGAUGAUGGUCUGACCACAUCGACAGACGUUGCAUUACAUCAACCAAUGGUUGUGUGCCACGUCAUCAACUGCUCCGUCGGGCAGCAGAUUGUUAUAUCAUAUGAUGUGGUUGGCGAACAUGUUAAACACCUACUGUAGGACUAACAGGGCCCAGUCCCAAAUGGACCCUUAAACCCCUACACCCUAUGCUCUAAACCCUACUCCUUAUGUGGAAGAUCUGAGAGGAUUUGACAGGUUAGGUGGAAGUUUCACCAUCUUUCUUAAACCAAUCAAAUCCUCUUAAACCAAUCAAAUCCUCCUUAAACCAGUCAAAUCCUCUUAAACCAAUCAAAUCCUCUUAAACCAAUCAAAUCCUCUUAAACCAAUCAAAUCCUCUUAAACCAAUCAAAUCCUCUUAAACCAAUCAAAUCCUCCUUAAACCAUAAAAUCUUCUCAGAUCUCCACAAGUGCAUAGGGCGUAGGGCGUAGGGUCUAGGGGUCCAUUUGGGAUUGGGCUCUGGUAUUUAUGGGACAGAAGACUCCCUUCACCUGGUGGGAGAUGUUGGCUGACAGAGACGACCUCAUAGAUAUUCCUGUUAGUUCCCUGGGUUUGUAAACAUAAUAAAUAAUGAGUUCAGAACCCCAGACUGUUGAUAAUGAGUUCAGAACCCCAGAGUAUUGAUAAUGAGUCCAGAACCCCAGAGUAUUGAUAAUGAGUUCAGAACCCCAGAGUAUUGAUAAUGAGUCCAGAACCCCAGAGUAUUGAUAAUGAGUCCAGAACCCCAGAGUAUUGAUAAUGAGUCCAGAACCCCAGAGUAUUGAUAAUGAGUUCAGAACCCCAGAGUAUUGAUAAUGAGUCCAGAACCCCAGAGUAUUGAUAAUGAGUUCAGAACCCCAGAGUAUUGAUAAUGA
rnacentral:lncRNA from 1 species